AUUUGUUCAGGGUCAGAAGGGUUUGGAUGGACUGCUGGGAGUGAUAGGGAACGAAGGGGAUCCGGGUGAUGAAGGGCGUGCUGGGCGCCCAGGUCGUCCUGGACGGCCAGGGAGAAGGGGUAGCCCAGGACCAGCAGGCCUGCAAGGGACACAAGGAGUGAAAGGACCCAAGGCAUCUCCAGGGAAAAGAGGGAAAGUGGGACCACCUGG